AAAGUACUCCCUCCGUCCCAAAAUUCUUGUCUUAGAUUUGUCUAGAUACGGAUGUAUCAAGUCACAUUUUAGUAUUAUAUACAUCCUUAUCUAGACAAAUCUAAGACAAGAAAUUUGGUACAGAGGGAGUAGUUG
rfam:Triticum aestivum genome assembly, contig: Triticum_aestivum_CS42_TGACv1_scaffold_000997_1AL